rnacentral:rRNA from 1 species
GUUAUCCGUGUUAAUUUUACGGUUAAUACAUGUACUGCCACUUCNUGGUGCCUUUAUUUCGACUAUGACUCACAGGCUUGCCUGAUCGUCGUGAAGAAAUUAUCUGUGCUUAUCGUUCUUUGAAAGAAGCUUCGAAAUUAUUUCCGCCCUAUCAGAUUUCGUUGGUAACGUAGUGGGUUACCAAGUCAGUGACGGGNAACGGGGAAUUAGGGUUUGACUCCGGAGAGGGAGCCUGAGAAACGGCUACCACAUCUAUGGACGGCAGCAGGCGCGCGAAUUACCCAAUCCUAUACUAGGGAGGUAGUGACAAGAAAUAACAACAUAGAUUUUAUUAAUUUAUGAUUGGAAUGAGAGGACUUUAAAAUAUUGCUCGAAUAUCCAUUGGAGGGCAAGUCUGGUGCCAGCAGCCGCGGUAAUUNNAGCUCCAACAGCGUAUAUUAAAGUUGCUGCAGUUAAAACGCUCGUAGUUGUUGUCCAACUAUACACUCAACUCUUCGGAGAAGAGUACAAUAGUUUAGCGGAUUUUCUCCGCCAAAGCCUUGAGGAAAGAUUAGUGUUCCAAGCAAUAUCCACUUUGUCCUCCCCAGCAUGGUAUAUAACCAAAUCGAAGCAGAAAUCUGUCACUUCUGCAUCUAACUAAAUAGAAAUUCAAGGGGGUAUACGUACUUUAAUGUCAGAGGUGAAAUUCUUAGAUUUUUAAAAGACGAUCAAAUGCGAAAGCAUUUACCAAGGGAAUUUUCUUUGAUCAAGAACGAAAGUUAGGGGAUUGAAGACGAUCAGAUACCGUCGUAAUCUUAACCGUAAACUAUGCC